rnacentral:rRNA from 1 species
AAUAUUGGACAAUGGGCGAAAUCCUGAUCCAGCCAGGCCGUGUGUUUGAAAAAGGUCUCGGGAUUGUAAAGCACUUUACGUUGGGAGGAAGGGCAGCACGUUAAUCCCUUGCUGUCUUGACUUUACCGACUGAUUAAGCACCGGCCAACUUCGCGCCAGCAGCCGCGGUAAUACGAAGGGUGCAAGAGUUAAUCGGAAUUACUGGGCGUAAAGCGGGUGUAGGUGGUUUGUUAAGUUGGAAGUAGAAGCCCCGGGCUCAACAUGGGAGCUGCUUUCAGAACUGGCAAGCUAGAGUAUGACAGAAGGUGGUGGAAUUUCCUGUGUAGCGGUGAAAUGCGUAGUUAUAGGAAGGAGCACCAGUGGCGAAGGCGACCACCUGGGCUAAUACUGACACUGAGGUGCGAAAGCGUGGGGAGCAAACAG